UACAGGGGGGCAAGCGUUGUUCGGAAUUACUGGGGCGUAAAGGGCUCGUAGGCGGCCAACUAAGUCGGACGUGAAAUCCCCAGGCUCAACCUGGGAACUGCGUCCGAUACUGGAUGGCUUGAAUCCGGGAGAGGGAUGCAGAAUUCCAGGUGUAGCGGUGAAAUGCGUAGAUAUCAGGAGGAACACCGGUGGCGGAAGGCGGGUCUCUGGGCCAUACUGACGCUGGAGGAGCGAAAGCGUGGGGAGCGAACAGG
rnacentral:rRNA from 1 species